CUCCGGCUGAUGAGUCCCAAAUAGGAUGGAAUGCGCAUCAAACUGGAU
rfam:Schistosoma mattheei strain Denwood, Zambia genome assembly, scaffold: SMTD_scaffold0001078